rnacentral:rRNA from 1 species
CUAAAGAGACUGCCGAUGACAAAUCGGAGGAAGGUGGGGAUGACGUCAAAUCAUCAUGCCCUUUAUGUCCUGGGCUACACACGUGCUACAAUGGUCGGUACAACGAGAAGCAAGUCAGCGAUGGCAAGCAAAUCUCUAAAAGCCGAUCCCAGUUCGGAUUGCAGGCUGCAACUCGCCUGCAUGAAGUCGGAGUUGCUAGUAAUCGCGGAUCAGAAUGCCGCGGUGAAUGCGUUCCCGGGUCUU